UACGAAGGGGGCUAGCGUUGCUCGGAAUUACUGGGCGUAAAGCGCACGUAGGCGGUCUUUUAAGUCGGGGGUGAAAUCCUGGAGCUCAACUCCAGAACUGCCCUUCGAUACUGGAAGACUCGAGUCCGGGAGAGGUGAGUGGAACUGCGAGUGUAGAGGUGAAAUUCGUAGAAUAUUCGCAAGAACACCAGUGGCGAAGGCGGCUCACUGGCCCGGUACUGACGCUGAGGUGCGAAAGCGUGGGGAGCAAACAGG
rnacentral:rRNA from 1 species